rnacentral:lncRNA from 1 species
ACAAUUUGGCUGACAAUGAUGAUUAAAUUUGAGAUUUGGUGUUAAUUUAUGAACUGUGGAUAGGGAGCAUGCUAGACUGAUUGAAGCUUGAACUUGCAAAAUUUGAUAUUAUAUAUGCACUGAAAUUGAGUUGACAUUGUGAUGAAAUAAGUUGAUUCAUAUGCUUUAUAGGUUGAUCUAGUUGAACAUAGACGCUUUAUCCAUACCAUACACAUUAUGUAUCCUUAGACCAAAUUUAGAACAGUUUGGGGGUGAUUUUGCUAUUGUAGGAAGAUACGGAUAUGGGCAAGGAUUCCAUGUGUGAAAACUUAUGUGUGGAUUGUCUUAGACUAAUAGGAUAAAAUUGGGUAAAAGUCUUGAGUUGGAGGUCGAUUUGAUUGAAUAAAUGUAUGAUAAAGGGCAUUGCACUAAUCAAGGCAGAUAUUUUGAAAUUAAAAACUUCUCUCUAAAGCUUUUAUGACUCGAGUAAUUAAGCCUGCAAGGGUAUCUUAAAACCUGAUGCCCUAAAGUCAUCUGACUUGGGAGUCAUCGGCCUAAAGCCUGCUACAUGGGUCAUCUAGAAAGCUUAAUGGAGAGAAUAAAAAAUAAAAUAAAAAAUAAAAAAUAAAAAAAAAACUCUUAAAAAUCAGAAAAAAAGCAAGUGCAUGAAAAAAAAAAGCACUAAUUGCCUUGUUAAGUCCGAGCACUUAUUCGAGAAAAUUUGACUUUUCAAUGAAGGAUAAUUAGCCUAGUUGAGUCCUAGCGGUUGAAGCAAUCAAUUAAUUGAGAAUCUUUGUUCAUUGAUGUAUUAACUUGCAACUAGUGACGUCCACCUGAACUAGAGAGGGUAAUGAUAGUAAUGAAAAAUUCAACCUUAGAUCACCUGCUGGGAAUUGAGUGAAAAUAAUAAAG